GUGCUCGCUUCGGCAGCACAUAUACUAAAAUUGGAACAACACAGAGAAGAUUAGCAUGGCCCCUGUGCAAGGAUGACAUGCAAAUUCAUGAAGCGUUCCAUAUUUUU
rnacentral:snRNA from 1 species